rnacentral:tRNA from 1 species
UCCUGGUUAGCUCAGUUGGUAAAGCGCUUCAUUGGAAAUGAAGACGUCUCUGGUUUGAAACCAGGACCAGGCA